AACGAACGCUGGCGGCAUGCCUAACACAUGCAAGUCGAACGAUCCCUUCGGGGAUAGUGGCGCACGGGUGCGUAACGCGUGGGAACCUGCCCUUAGGUUCGGAAUAACUCAGAGAAAUUUGAGCUAAUACCGGAUAAUGUCUUCGGACCAAAGAUUUAUCGCCUUUGGAUGGGCCCGCGUUGUAUUAGCUAGUUGGUGGGGUAAAGGCCUACCAAGGCGACGAUCCAUAGCUGGUCUGAGAGGAUGAUCAGCCACACUGGGACUGAGACACGGCCCAGACUCCUACGGGAGGCAGCAGUGGGGAAUAUUGGACAAUGGGCGAAAGCCUGAUCCAGCAAUGCCGCGUGAGUGAUGAAGGCCUUAGGGUUGUAAAGCUCUUUUACCCGGGAUGAUAAUGACAGUACCGGGAGAAUAAGCCCCGGCUAACUCCGUG
rnacentral:rRNA from 1 species